AUGGGGUUUGUUAAAGUUGUUAAGAAUGAGGCCUAUUUAAGAGAUACCAAGUGAAAUUUAGGAAAUGACAAGAGGGUAGAACUGAUUACUAUACUCAGAAACACUCUGUGAUACAGGAUAAAAAUAAAUACAACACACUCAAAUACAGGGUGAUAGUCUGUGUAACAAACAGAGAUAUGAUUUGUCAGAUUACUUAUGCCCAUAUAGAAGGGGAUACGGUAGUCUGCGCAGCAUAUGUACAUGGUACAUGAACUACCAAAAUAAGGUGUGAAGGUUGGCCUGACAAAUUAUGCUGCAGCACAUUAUACUGGCCUGCCACUGGCCCACGGGCUUCUCGGUAGGUUUGGCAUGGACAGGAUCUAUGAAGGCCAAGUGGAGAUGACUGGAGAUUAAUGUGAUGUGGAAAGCAUUGAUGGUCAGCCUGGUGCCUUCACCUGCUAUUUGGAUGUAGGCCUUGCCAGAACCAUCACUGGCAAUAAAGUUUUUGGGGCCUUGAAGGGAGCUGUUGAUAAAGGCUGUUCUGUCCCUCACAGUACCAGAUGAUUCCCUGCUUGUGAUUCUGAAAGCAAGGAAUUUAAUGCAGAAGCGCAUGGGAAACACAUCAUGGGUCAGAAUGAUGCAGAUUACAUGCAUUACCUAAUGGAAGCAGAUGAAGAUGCUUACAAGAAACGGUUCUUUCCGUUCAUAAAGAACAGCGAAACUUCAGACCUGAUGGAGGAGAUAUACAAUAAAGCUCAUAUUGGCUGGGCACGAGAAUCCAAACUAUGAGAAGCCCAAGAAAGAAGUUAAAAACAGCAGGUGGAAACAUCCCAAAAUGUCCCAUGCCCAGAAGAAAGAUCAGGUAGCUCAAAAGAAGGGAAGCUUCCUCAGACCUCAGGAGCAGGCUCUGAGAGCUAA
rnacentral:lncRNA from 10 species